AACCCCUGGCAAUGGACAAAGAGACACCUUGUUGAUUGUGUUGUUCUUAUAUGAGCCAGGGCAGAGCAGAUGGCUUUCCUUUGUUCAUCCUAGUUGAUGCCUGGCUUGGUGGCCAAAGCUGUUUCAUGCCUAGGGCAUGUAA
rfam:Mesocricetus auratus contig146045, whole genome shotgun sequence.